UACGGAGGAUCCGAGCGUUAUCCGGAUUUAUUGGGUUUAAAGGGUGCGCAGGCGGAAGAUUAAGUCGGUGGUGAAAUUUUGCAGCUCAACUGUAAAAGUGCCUUCGAAACUGGUUUCCUUGAGUGUAGAUGAAGUAGGCGGAAUUUGUGGUGUAGCGGUGAAAUGCAUAGAUAUCACGAGGAACUCCGAUUGCGAAGGCAGCUUACUAAGCUACUACUGACGCUCAGGCACGAAGGCGUGGGGAUCAAACAGGAUUAGAUACCCUGGUA
rnacentral:rRNA from 1 species